UACGUAGGGGGCAAGCGUUGUCCGGAAUCAUUGGGCGUAAAGAGCGUGUAGGCGGUCCUGUAAGUCCGCUGUGAAAGUCAAGGGCUCAACCCUUGAAUGCCGGUGGAUACUGCAGGACUAGAGUCCGGAAGAGGCGAGUGGAAUUCCUGGUGUAGCGGUGAAAUGCGCAGAUAUCAGGAGGAACGCCGAUGGCGAAGGCAGCUCGCUGGGACGGUACUGACGCUGAGACGCGAAAGCGUGGGGAGCAAACAGG
rnacentral:rRNA from 1 species